rnacentral:rRNA from 1 species
AGAGUUUGAUCAUGGCUCAGAUUGAACGCUGGCGGCAUGCCUAAUACAUGCAAGUCGAACGGUAACAUGCCCCUCGGGGUGAUGACGAGUGGCGGACGGGUGAGUAAUACAUAGGAAUCUACCUAGUAGUGGGGGACAACUUGGGGAAACUCAAGCUAAUACCGCAUACAUCCUACGGGAAAAAGAGGGCCUCUUCUUGAAAGCUCUUGCUAUUAGAUGAGCCUAUGUCAGAUUAGCUUGUUGGUGGGGUAACAGCCUACCAAGGCUACGAUCUGUAGCUGGUCUGAGAGGAUGAUCAGCCACACUGGGACUGAGACACGGCCCAGACUCCUACGGGAGGCAGCAGUAGGGAAUAUUGGACAAUGAGCGCAAGCCUGAUCCAGCAAUGCCGCGUGUGUGAAGAAGGCCUGCGGGUUGUAAAGCACUUUCAGUUGGGAAGAAAAGCUCAAAGUUAAUAACUUUGAGUCUUGACAUUAUCAACAGAAGAAGCACCGGCUAACUUUGUGCCAGCAGCCGCGGUAAUACAGAGGGUGCGAGCGUUAAUCGGAAUUACUGGGCGUAAAGAGUACGUAGGCGGUUAUAUCAGUCGGAUGUGAAAGCCCAAGGCUUAA